AGUGUACAUAUAUAUUUAUACAUUAUAUAUAUAUUACAUUCCAUAAAUUGAUAUUUUGAUAAAAAGCAUUAAAUUGAACGGCAUAAUAUUUGAUAAACGAUGGAUUAUCCUGAUUAGUAAUUAGUGAUGUGUGGAUGUUAUCGGAAAUCACAUUGCCAUCAAGGAUUUUGACAGCUCAAAGGAUGUUAAGAAUCGUUUUGAUGAUAAUCCGAGGUUUUUUGAACACCCAUUACAAGCGGCAGAAAGUGAGCUUCGAUGAUAGCUUCCUGGGGGACGAAGGUCAGGAGAUAUUCAGUGAGAUGACCUUGUCUCUGAAGAGGACAUCCCUGGCGGUAGUGCUGAAAAAUUGAGCUUGGAAGAAUGACGAUCAGAACCUGAAGCACGAGGUUAUCGAUGAAUUAUCGACUAUCAACGGGCCAAGAGGUAUUCAAACCACCCUGAGUAGCUGGAGUUCUACUCGGCGGUGAGGAGGAGUCCUCAGGGCCUUUUCAGGUGAACAAAGUCCCAGAUGAUCCUCUGAGUGAGGAGGAAUUAGAGGGGGUCGACAUUUGCGUCAAGAAGGGACCGUCUAAUGAGUUCAUGGGGAUUUAUGAGAAAAAUAAUUCUUUAGAGCCAUUCUCUCUGCCGAUGAGAUCCUCUGCCGAUGAGGAACAGAACAGCGAAGGUAAAGGUGGUAUUUUCACGAAGAAGAGAGCUUUUUCGUGGAGAAAAAUCCGAGCCACAAAAAAGAAACAAUCUGAGAUGGUGGACACGAGUGCUACAUACACGAGAUGGAUUUAUUAGAUCGCUCGUCCACACAAAAUCAAUUGAUUGAAUUAUUCCAACUCAACAAUAUGACAGCGUGUAUUUGAAUUGAGAUUCAAGUUUUUUCAUUUGUACAAUAGUGUUAGAAGUUCCAAUCAAUCGUAUGUAGCGGGUAAUUAAAUGUUAUUCUUGAAAAAUAAUGAUUUUAGAAAAGUCGGCGUCCAUUUUAUUCAGGUGAAAGGUCUUCUAUAAAUUCUUUCAACGUCUCUCAUCAGCAAAUAAUCAUACAAUAAACUAAAUGAGUUUGAUACAAUGUAUAAAAAACCUCCCAUCUCUGAAUCAUACCAACAAA